CCCUUAGAUGUUCUGGGCUGCACGCGCGCUACACUGACACACUCAGCGAGUUCCUGUACCGAGAGGUUCGGGUAAUCAUGUGAGCGUGUGUCGCGAUGGGGAUAGAAUAUUGUAAUUAUUGCUCUUCAACGAGGAAUUCCUAGUAAGCGCAAGUCAGCAGCUUGCGCUGAUUACGUCCCUGCCCUUUGUACACACCGCCCGUCGCUCCUACCGAUUGGGUGAUCCGGUGAAUGACUCGGACUUUGACGUUCCUAGACACUAGGUUCGUCGAGGGAAGUUUUGUGAACCUUAUCACUUGGAGGAAGGAGAAGUCGUAACA
rnacentral:rRNA from 1 species